rnacentral:rRNA from 1 species
AACGAACGCUGGCGGCAUGCCUAACACAUGCAAGUCGAGCGAGACCAUCGGGACCAGUGUCGCACGGGUGUGUAACGGGACGGAACCUGCCCUUAGGUUCGGACUAACUCCAAGAAAGGGGUGACAAUACCGAAUAAUGUCUACGGCCCAAUGAUUUCUUGCCUUUGGUUGUGCCAGAGUUGCAUUAGCUAGUUCGUAGGGUAAAAGAUUACUAAGGCGACAAUUCGUAGCUGGUCUGAGAGGAUGAUCAGCCACACUGGGACGGAGACACGGCCCAGACUCUUACGGGAGGCGGGAGUGGCGAAUAUUGGACAAUGGGCGAAAGCCUGAACCACCAAUGCCGCGUGAGUGAUGAAGUCCUGAGGGUUGUAAAGCGCUUGUACCCGGGAUGAUAAUGACGGUACCUGGAGAGUAAGCUCCGGCUAACUCCGUG